GGGGAAUAUUGCACAAUGGGCGAAAGCCUGAUGCAGCAACGCCGCGUGAGUGAUGACGGUCUUCGGAUUGUAAAGCUCUGUCUUUGGGGACGAUAAUGACGGUACCCAAGGAGGAAGCCACGGCUAACUACGUGCCAGCAGCCGCGGUAAUACGUAGGUGGCAAGCGUUGUCCGGAUUUACUGGGCGUAAAGGGUGCGUAGGCGGACCUUUAAGUGAGAUGUGAAAUCCCCGAGCUUAACUUGGGGGCUGCAUUUCAAACUGGAGGUCUAGAGCGCAGGAGAGGAGAGUGGAAUUCCUAGUGUAGCGGUGAAAUGCGUAGAGAUUAGGAAGAACACCAGUGGCGAAGGCGACUCUCUGGACUGUAACUGACGCUGAGGCACGAAAGCGUGGGGAGCAAACAG
rnacentral:rRNA from 1 species